ensembl:lncRNA CNN3-DT CNN3 divergent transcript
GGGCCGGCGGAGGGGAGCGGAAGCCCACCGGGGCUGGCCCGCCGCUGACCCGCCGCCUCCGUCUGCCUCCUCCCGGGCUCUGGGCCCAGCGCGCCCAGAUGCCGGGCAGGACCCCUCCGCCCGCUGCUGGAACACCAAUAGCAGCGUUGGAGCCUCUGGGCCGGAGGAACUGGGGCCUCCACCGACACCUGCUUCUUCCCUCACCUCGCAGCCUUCCACACCUGUUGAUCUGACCUCUGCCCCGCUGCCGCCCAGGAGUAACCUAAGGCUUUUGGCCUGAUUCGAGCUCACUCCGUCUAAACCUCUAAAUGCGGUGCGAAAAAAUCCUGGGGAAUGUGCCAUGCAAAGCCUGGGCAUUUCAAGUGCUUUUCUGGAUUCGCAUCAACUCCUCUUUACAGGCAUCUUUAUCCGGAAUUCAGCUCGUCCCAAACCCCACGUGGUGUAGCUCUGCUUGUGUUUUUGAAUCCCGGGGCCUCUUUGAAUCAGAAGCCCUUUGUAUAGAGAUAAGUAUCCUUUAGGCCAGAAUCAGCCUCCAUUUUUUUCGCAGUCCCAUUUCCUACCCGUAAUACUUUCUUCUGAUUUUAAAGCCAUUUGAUAGAGAAGGGACAGGGAACAGAACCUUCGCCCCCCGCCUGAGCAGCUGGUAGACUAGAUAUCUUCCAAACAUUAUCUCAUUUACUUCCCUGGAGUUACAAAUAGGUAGAUUUCAUGUCCGUUGAGGGGUGAGAAAGCUGAAACUUUGAGACUUAAGAAUCCUGGCCGAGGUCAGCCUCCUCCGAAGCUUCAUCUCUUGCCACCACUUUCUGGUGCACACCUAGGACAGAUUUCAAUCCCUGAGAUCCCAGGAUGAAACCUAUGUUUGCCAAAUACCAGCUACUGUGCCAGAAGAGAUCAUGGAACCAGGUGUGGAAAGCUGCUUGAGAAGAGGAGCCAAAACAUCAUAGUUGAACCGUCCUGGAAUAGAAGUGAGUAAGGUGAACCAGGUGUGGUGGCUCAUGCCUGUAAUCCUAGCACUUUGGGAGACCGAGGUGGGAGGAUUGCUUGAGGCCUGGAGUUCAGGAACAUCCUGGGCAACAUAGCAAGAUCCUGUCUCUACAAAAAAUCCAAAGUUUUUUUAAAUUAAAAAAAAAAAGUGAGUAAGGCAGCUUGAACCGGAAAUGCACAAAACUGCUAUCCAGUUUGCAAGGCUUUUCCCAAUGACUUUGAGGGAUGGAACCUGAAGGAAGCGGGAGGAGGCAAAUAGGGAGGAAAGUGAAAUGAUUUAUAAAUGACUUGCUAAUUUUGUCCAAAGGGAGUAAUGAUAAUUAGGGCAUUCUUCCCACACGAAGAUGACACAAUUGACCCAAUAUCAUUGAGGCUAACAGUUUGGGCUGUUUUUCCAGUAGUAUGACAGUGACGGUGUGUCAACCGCAGGACCUCACCCACAUUUCUUUGGGACCUAGGAGUGUGGGAAAUAGCAGCCAGAUUUGAGGUACAAAUCAUGGUGUCCAGCCUGCAAAGCCUUUUUGCAGCAAUCUAAGCCUGACUGCUCCUGUUGUAUGCUCAAAGUCAUUUUAAUCUACUUUAGCUUAUUGUAAAAUGUUCAAGAAUUGUAUUUUGUCUUGAAAACCAUGAAUUUUAUUGUUUAGGGGGAGUUAUUUUUUAAGGAGUGCAGGAUUUCAGUUUUGGAUGAUGAAAAAGUUUUGAAGAUGGGUAGUGACAGUGGUCACACAACAUUGUAAAUGUACUUAAUGCCAUUGUACACUUACGUGACUUUAAAGUAAACAUGAAAUUUUCUACA